ACUAAGACAUCAUUUCUUUUAUCAGAUGAGGAAACCAAUACAUAGAAAGACUUUUAAAUUUUCCCUAAACAAUGGAAGUACAUGCUAAGUGCAAUAGGGGUAUGUAGAAAAGAGUGUUCAGAUUUUAGGGAGAUUUCCAGAAAAGGCCUCUUCAUGCUGGAGAUGGCUUUUUUUAAAUAAUGGAAGGGAGUUCCCAAGGCAAUGGUUGAGCAGUGGAGUGGGAGCCCAGGUAAGAGUAUGCAGGUGGUAGAAACAAAAUAUUCUAAGACAGACGGGCACAAAACAGCAUGGCUUAUUUGGGGAACUACAAGUACCUCUAUGUUGCUGAUGCCUGAUGUUCUAGAGGACACAUUUCAAGGCAGGAACAAGCUGAGGGCAUAUCUCAACCUCCCCUUCCUCAGGGGCACUCAUCCUUCAUCCCUUUAGCAGUUUUACUCAGCAUUUGUUCUAGGAUGCCAGGCUGUGAGGUAAGACAGGUAAGUGAGACUCAGCCUCUACCCUCAGAGUUCACAAUCUAAUGGGAAAACUAAAUUAUCAUAAAGAUAGCAUUACAAAUGCAGUGCUUGACAUAUGCCUGGAGCACUAUGAGACUGUAGGUGAGAAGCAACGAAAAGAGGACAAUCCGGAGAAGGUAGCAGCUGUGCUGUCUCUUAAAGUCUGACCAGGUAGUCCAGGUGUUCCCUGUGUUUGAGGUCAAGGGGCAGCAGGAGAAGAUGCAACAGAAAAGCACACAGCACGAGCAAAGCCACAUAGCUGAAAAACAGCUAUCACCUGCAACAGCUUCUGCUGCUACAAUACCUGUACUCCUCUUAGAUUUUAUUCCAGUAUCAGCCAACAACGUGAUCUGACAGGACAGUCCCAGCCCUAGGAAAUGAACUAUGAUUCGUGCAGACCGAUCGAAGUCAUACCAUACAGCGAUGGAUUUGGGCAUGUGGGCCAGUUGGGAUCAAGGGAAAGGAAGCAUUUCCAUUUUGAUCAAUGGGGGGAUUCUGGGAAAGUCUUCUGCCCGUAAAAAGAAACAAGCCAGGAAAAACGUCCCCUUCCUCCCUGUAGACAUGGCUAUGAACGGCAGGAUGCCUGAAACUGUCCAGGCUUGUUAUGAUGGAGAGACACACUGCACAGGGUGGGGGAAAGGGGAAAUAUACCCUAAGAAUGGUAGACCAGAAAGAUGUAAAGCAUCUGUAUCCUUGUUGAAAUUAUAGUGCCUCCCAAUUAACAUACCUAGAACUGUUUACCUCUGGACAUUUCAUUAUGUGAGAUAUUAAAGACCUGUGUAUUUGAA
rnacentral:lncRNA from 1 species